GAUGAGCGCUGGCGGCGUGCUUAACACAUGCAAGUCGAACGGGAUCCAUCAGGCUUUGCUUGGUGGUGAGAGUGGCGAACGGGUGAGUAAUGCGUGACCGACCUGCCCCAUACACCGGAAUAGCUCCUGGAAACGGGUGGUAAUGCCGGAUGCUCCGACUCCUCGCAUGGGGUGUCGGGAAAGAUUUCAUCGGUAUGGGAUGGGGUCGCGUCCUAUCAGGUAGUCGGCGGGGUAACGGCCCACCGAGCCUACGACGGGUAGCCGGCCUGAGAGGGCGACCGGCCACAUUGGGACUGAGAUACGGCCCAGACUCCUACGGGAGGCAGCAGUGGGGAAUAUUGCACAAUGGGCGCAAGCCUGAUGCAGCGACGCCGCGUGCGGGAUGACGGCCUUCGGGUUGUAAACCGCUUU
rnacentral:rRNA from 1 species